AGUGAACGCUGGCGGCAGGCCUAAUACAUGCAAGUCGAGCGACCGCGCGGGGGCAAUCCUGGCGGCGCGUGGCCGACGGGCGAGGAAUUCGUCGGUAUCUGCCUUACCUUUGGGGAUAACGUAGGGUCACUUACGCUAAUACCGCAUACGUUCUACGGUAGAAAGGGGGGGAUCGCUAGUGCUCACGCAGUAUGAUGAGCCCGCGACCGAUUAGCUAGUUGGUUGGGUAAAGGCCCACCAAGGCGACGAUCGGUAGCUGAUCUGAGUGGGUGAUCAGCCACACUGGGACUGAGACACGGCCCAGACUCCUACGGGAGGCAGCAGUGGGGAAUCUUGGGCAAUGGGCGAAAGCCUGAUCGAGCCAUGCCGCGUGUGUGAAGAAGGCCUUCGGAUUGUAAAACACUUUUGUCCGGGAAGAAAAACCUUGUACUUAUCCCUGCAGGGGAUGACGGUACCGAAAGAGUAAGCACCGGCUAACUACGUG
rnacentral:rRNA from 1 species